UUGAGAGUGGGACGAACGGGUGAGUAAUAUAUCGGAACGUCGCCCAGUCGGUGGGGGAUAACGUAGCGAAAGUUACGCUAAUACCGCAUACGAUCUACGGAUGAAAGCGGGGGAUCGCAAGACCUCGCGCGAUUGGAGCGGCCGAUAUCAGAUUAGGUAGUUGGUGAGGUAAAGGCUCACCAAGCCGACGAUCUGUAGCUGGUCUGAGAGGACGACCAGCCACACUGGGACUGAGACACGGCCCAGACUCCUACGGGAGGCAGCAGUGGGGAAUUUUGGACAAUGGGCGCAAGCCUGAUCCAGCAAUGCCGCGUGCAGGAUGAAGGCCUUCGGGUUGUAAACUGCUUUUGUACGGAACGAAACGGUGAGCUCUAAUACAGUUUGCUAAUGACGGUACCGUAAGAAUAAGCACCGGCUAACUACGUG
rnacentral:rRNA from 1 species